rnacentral:rRNA from 1 species
GACGAACGCUGGCGGCGUGCUUAACACAUGCAAGUCGAACGGUAAGGCCCUUCGGGGUACACGAGUGGCGAACGGGUGAGUAACACGUGGGUGAUCUGCCCUGCACUUCGGGAUAAGCCUGGGAAACUGGGUCUAAUACCGGAUAGGACCACUGCCUGCAUGGGUGGUGGUGGAAAGCUUUUGCGGUGUGGGAUGGGCCCGCGGCCUAUUAGCUUGUUGGCGGGGUGAUGGCCUACCAAGGGGACGACGGGUAGCCGGCCUGAGAGGGUGACCGGUCACACUGGGACGGGGAUACGGCCCAGACUCCUACGGGAGGCAGCAGUGGGGAAUAUUGCACAAUGGGCGCAAGCCUGAUGCAGCGACGCCGCGUGAGGAAUGACGGCCUUCGGGUUGUAAACCUCUUUCAGCUAUGACGAAGCGCAAGUGACGGUAGUAGCAGAAGAAGGACCGGCCAACUACGUGCCAGCCGCCGCAGUAA